rnacentral:tmRNA from 1 species
GGGGGUGUUACGGUUUCGACUAGGAAGUGAAAAAUUGAUUGCAUGCGGAGGAUAUCGGUUGGCCUCCUAAAAAAACCGGUAAAACAAUAAAUGCUAACAAUAGCAAUAUUUUUGCAGAAGCUAGAGCCCAAGAAGAGGCUCUUCUCGCUGCCGCUGCUGCGUAAGACCUAACAGUCUUGGUAGCCCGAUAGUCUGAAACUGGACCGAGGGUUUUAGAAUCUAUCGUCAUUUUCUUGGUAUGAAUUCUUUUUCUCGCCGCUUCUAGGGAAAAGUUUUCAAGAUUAAAUGAAGCAAACUAACUUCGAUUGUUGCGUUCUGCAUAGGAGUUGGGGAUUUUACAGAACGAUAAGCAUGUAGUGGUCAAUUCGUAAUUUGCCAAGGACGAGAGUUCAAUUCUCUCCACCUCCAAUU